rnacentral:lncRNA from 15 species
CACGAACUGGCUCCGCGAAGCCUUUGUCACAGAUGCCGGUGCUUCUGGCGGAAUUGUUAGAGGAAUCUGACAGCCCUAGCAUCUUCACCCUCUGCCCUUGAACUGAUUGCUUUUCCAAUACCACGGUUUGGAGGUCAGACCAAACGACUGACAGACCGACCGACUGAAUAGCUAAGUCCCCUCAGUCAUCAAAGGAUGGACAAAAAUACAGAAGUUAUUGUUAGGUGGGAUCGUGAUGGAGAGAUCAAUUGUGGCAAGAAACGAGAUCUUUGAUAUAACGGAAGGCGUAGGGUGGGUUCAAGAGUCACUAUGAGCUAGAUGGAUGUGGACUGGACGGGGACUGCAACGCUGACAGGAGACUCUGACUCCGAAUGUGCCUCCAUUUAGAGGUUUUGUGGUCUAGUGGAUAAGUCGUUGGACUGUGGAUCACAGGAUCCAUGGUUCAAGUCCCGCCACAGCAGUAAUGUCUUUUGGCAAGAUAUUAAUCUACAUUUGCCACUCUGCUGUGAGCACCGAAAGCGGCUGCCUAGCAGAGCCAGGGUAAUAGUUAAGGCGCGUUGAGCAUAUUGUUAUUAUUAUUUUGACAGUGACAACCUCCCUCCUUCCUCACUAAGAACAGCACAGACUAAGGUCAUCCAUCAUAUGAAAGUUGCAUGUAAGAAGUUUUAAUCCCAUAAACUUACAGUGUUGUAUGUUUUUAGAAGGAUUUGGCAUGUAGGACUAAUAUUAAUUGCUAAUAGUUUAUAUUUCAAAGGGCAAUCCAACCUCUGUAACAAGUUGAUUUAUGUUAAAGCAGAACAAAAUGAGUGUAAUAGACUGGUGAAAGUUUGAAAGAAAUCAGACAUAGAAUAAGAAAUAAUGUUUGAAAAGUUAGAUUACAACAUCUAUGUAAAUCUCAGAUCUGCAAUUUUAUGAGGCAACAGGGACGUAUGCAGCUGACAACUUUGUAUGUCAUACACAAAAAA